AAGUCUAACAAGGUACUGCCGGUAGGGUAAAUCCUGCGGAGGGAUCCAAUUAAUCGAGAAAGCGUUGCCCUAACGGGGUAGAUCUCCCACCCUUUGUUAACCAAACAUUGUUGCUUUGUCUGGCCCCGACCCUCGGGUCCGCCGGCCUUCGGGCUGGUCAGCGCCGGACAGAGGAAACUAAAACCUUUAUCACUGUCGUCAGAGUACUAUAUAAUAGUUAAAAA
rnacentral:misc_RNA from 1 species